rnacentral:lncRNA from 1 species
CACAUUUCACACAUAAUGGGUAUGAGAUAUUAAGUCAUCACACACUACAAUAAAAUUUUGAUUUUGCGACACGACUCGCAACAUUACUUAAAACCGCCCACUCUCAAUGUUGGCUAUGGUUGGUGCGACAGUUAUUCGCAAUCGUCACCGUCUUUUGGAAACAAUAGAUACGCGCUUAAAACUUUUCACUGUCUCGUGUUAAACAUUUUCCCCAAAAAUUUCAUUGUUGCGCAAAAUUCACUAAAAUCCCAUUGAUCAAUUGAAAGAAAGAAGAACAAGGGAACUCAAAGAUUGUUUUGCUUAGAUAAAAAGGAAGACGCGAACUUGAAAAGUAUUGGAAGAAGAGAACUCAAAUACCAGAGAAAUUAAAGAGGUAUGAAGCUUGUUCUGCCCUUUUGUUGUUUCCUUUUGUUCGUUCAUUGCAUCUUUUGUUUGCAUUUUCUUCUUUGUUUGUGUUGAGUAGAUGUUCUUUCAGAAGUAUUCCAACUAGAAUGUAAUUGAUGUUGCAUUGUUAAUUUUCGCUAUAGUCAUCAUAGAACGAAGUUAGUCUUUGUUGUCCAAGUGAUAUAUGAUAAUUUCAUUAGUUGUUAAUUGUGCUCUAAAUUAUAAUUGCAUAUUAUAUGUUUGCAUCUUGUCUUGGUUAUUCCACUACCUUAUGAGAAUUAUAAUGAAGCUACUUUGUGAAAUGUCAAUAAUAUUAAACUUUGUUGCAACUUUAUUGAAGCUUGUUUAUAAUCACUAGUUGUCAUUUCUUGUCUGCAUAUGUGUUUCCACUUCACUGAUAGAUGUUGUUUUAAAUCUAUUUCCUAUUUUGAAAAUACAGCUAUUCUUUUCUUUCCUAAACCCAUCUUUCUAAAAUAAUGUAAAUUUUAUGUUUGGGAUAUAUAACUUGAUUGUACAUUUAACAAUAUGAUAGUAUGAAUCUUCCAUAAAUUUCAUUUUUUGUUUGGUGUAUCUUUUUUGUAAAUAACAACUGCUACUAUUUGGCAUCUUGAGAUGGUGAUGAGAAGUCUAAUAUUUUUUCAUUUAAAUUUGUAGGAAUGUGAAAGGAUAUAUGUUCCUUUACUUAAUUACUAUUUUUCAUACAUGAGUAUGUAAAUUAUAUAUUAAUUUCUAGUAAACUCUUAACAUUCUUAAAAGAGUUAUUUGCAAGAUGAAGUAUGUUCAAAUAAAAUAAGUGAUACAUAUUUAUUUUCAAA